rnacentral:rRNA from 1 species
GAUACCCGCUGAACUUAAGCAUAUCAAUAAGCGGAGGAAAAGAAACCAACCGGGAUUGCCUCAGUAACGGCGAGUGAAGCGGCAAGAGCUCAAAUUUGAAAUCUGGCCCCUCCGGGGUCCGAGUUGUAAUUUGUAGAGGAUGCUUCGGGUGCGGCCCCCGUCUAAGUGCUCUGGAACGGGCCAUCGGAGAGGGUGAGAAUCCCGUCUGGGACGGGGUGUCCGCGUCCAUGUGAAGCUCCUUCGACGAGUCGAGUUGUUUGGGAAUGCAGCUCUAAAUGGGUGGUAAAUUUCAUCUAAAGCUAAAUACUGGCCGGAGACCGAUAGCGCACAAGUAGAGUGAUCGAAAGAUGAAAAGCACUUUGAAAAGAGAGUUAAACAGCACGUGAAAUUGUUGAAAGGGAAGCGCUUGCGACCAGACUCGCUUCCGGGGUUCAGCCGGCUUUCGGGCCGGUGUACUUCCCCGGGGGCGGGCCAGCGUCGGUUUGGGCGGCCGGUCAAAGGCCCCUGGAAUGUAACGCCUCUCGGGGCGCCUUAUAGCCAGGGGUGUCAUGCGGCCAGCCUGGACCGAGGAACGCGCUUCGGCACGGACGCUGGCAUAAUGGUCGUAAACGACC